GAUGAACGCUGGCGGCGUGCCUAACACAUGCAAGUCGAACGGAAAGACGAGGAGCUUGGUCGUCGGACGUUAGCGGCGGACGGGAGAGAAACGCGUGUAAAACCUACUUAUAAGUCUGGGAUCACAAGGGGAAACCGGAGCGAAUACGAGAUAAGAUAUUGAACCGCAGGGGGCAAUGGAGAAAGACGGCGGUGCGGGCACUUAUAGAUGGAUCCGCGCCGGAUUAGCUAGUUGGUAAGGUAACGGCUUACCAAGGGGACGAUGCGUAGCCGAUCUGAGAUGGUGAUCAGCCACACUGGGACUGAGACACGGCCCAGACUCCUACGGGAGGCAGCAGUGGGGAAUCUUGCGCAAUGGGCGAAAGCUUGACCCAGCCACGCCGCGUGCGUGAUGAAGGUCUUCGGGUCGUAAACCUCUGUUAUUAGGAAAGAACAGAUUUGUGAUUAACCCUGCGCGUCAUGACGGUACCUUAUCAAAAAGCCCCGGCUAACUACGUG
rnacentral:rRNA from 1 species